AGUGAGCUUCGUUGGCCCAGGAGAGAAAUGGGUCCAUGACGGACACGGGCGGAUCAACACGCUCUGGGUUCAGCUUGGUGUCGGUGAAGAUGCGGGGCCGUGGGAGGCUGCUGCCGUAGAACUUGCCUGGCCCCAAAGGUACGCGUGCCACCAUGCCUGCGGAAUCUAAUUUGGGCUUCUCAAUUUUUUCGGCUUGAUUGAGGGAUUUUAACAAACAAAUGGUGUGUGCAGUGAAAAUGGGUGAUUUGGUGACUGAUGAGCCGUUGCUGAUGGCGGCGGCAGUGAUAAGCGAAUUUGGUAUAUAGCAUUGCUAUAUAGAGGGAGAGAGUGGCGGGAAG
rnacentral:lncRNA from 1 species